GCCUUGGUGGUGUGAUGAUAUAGCACGCAUCCCCGGUAAGAAUGAGACGCGGGUUCGAUUCCUGGUUGAGACA